GAUGAAGAAGCAGCGAAAUGCGAUAAGUAAUGUGAAUUGCAGAAUUCAGUGAAUCAUCGAAUCUUUGAACGCACAUUGCGCCCGUCAGUAUUCUGGCGGGCAUGCCUGUUCGAGCGUCAUUACGCCCCUCAAGUCCCCUGUGGACUUGGUGUUGGGGAUCGGCGAGGCUGGUUUUCCAGCACAGCCGUCCCUUAAAUUAAUUGGCGGUCUCGCCGUGGCCCUCCUCUGCGCAGUAGUAAAACACUCGCAACAGGAGCCCGGCGCGGUCCACUGCCGUAAAACCCCCCAACUUUUUAUAGUUGACCUCGAAUCAGGUAGGACUACCCGCUGAACUUAAGCAUAUCAAUAAGCGGAGGA
rnacentral:misc_RNA from 1 species